rnacentral:rRNA from 1 species
CCCUUAGAUGUCCGGGGCUGCACGCGCGCUACACUGAAGGAAUCAGCGUGCUAAAACCAUUGUCGAAAGGCAUUGGUAAACCCAUUAAAAUCCUACGUGAUUGGGAUCGGGAAUUGCAAUUAUUUCCCUUGAACGAGGAAUUCCCAGUAAGUGUGGGUCAUAAGCUCGCGUUGAUUACGUCCCUGCCCUUUGUACACACCGCCCGUCGCUGCCCGGGACUGAGCCGUUUCGAGAAAAGCGGGGACUGCUGCUGUCGGGGCUUUCGGGCCUUGGCUUCGGUGGAAACCGCUUUAAUCGCAGUGGCUUGAACCGGGCAAAAGUCGUNACA